AGUAAAAAACUCUCGUGCUGAGAGAUUAACUGAAAAAUUGUAAUUUACAAAGAUCCACAAAAGUUAGAUAUUGAAAUCAAUCACACUUUUAUAGACAAAAUUGGCUCAGAAACUUGCUAUCAUCAGAAAUAAAUAAUAUUCACUUCAAUCAAGAUGGCGGACUGUAACUUCAGUUCAGGUAAAAUAGCCUAUGACAUAUAUAGGAGACAAAUUUGUUUGCUUCCCUUAUAUAUAUGAAUGUCUCAACAAAAUUAUGACCAUUUUGUUCAAAUUUCAUUUUAAUUUCAAAAUUCUUGGGUCAUGGAUAUACUUGCAUGUACAUGUACUCUAACAUAAAUUUGGUAUUUUCAAUUAAAUAUUCUGCUUACCUACUUUCCCAAGGUAAGGUUAAAGUAGGCCUGGGGGCCACUUACCCACAGUCAAGGAUUAUUUGGCGGGCUUGUAUAAACCUCCUCUGAAACAAUAAAGAUAUAUUUUUCCAUAUCAAAAGUCGAUCAUAAAACACCACGAUUAAAGGAAUGUCUGUAGAAAUGUCGGAAAGAAUUUUUUUGAUCCGGUGGACCCAGAGUUUCGGGUAUUCACUGGCGACUCCUAGUCGUAAUAGCAAGUGACUUUUAUUUGAAAAUUCCGAAAUCAAACACUAUUUAAAAAGUUUUUAACGCUUUGCUUACAUUUUCAUGUUGCAAAUAUUCUGCGUAAUCAUUAACUUUAGCUAUUGAUGAAUAUGCUUUCUCCUUACUGAAUUUUCCUUCAUGAUUAUAUAAAAAAUUACUGUUGAUUUAUUUAAAAAAUAUAUGACAUGUACCCUUCGUUAACCACCCUUCACAUUCACCUAUCAUCCUCGUGCCUUUUGGCACGCAGGACCUCCACAGAGCAUCUCGCUUCAUUCCACAACUGUCAGCCAGCAUUGGCCCUCUCCAUCUCUAUUGUGUGCCGCCAAUUUAAGUUGUUUUUGGUCAUCCGUGCUUUCUUCAUCCUUCGGGUAAUAUAAUAUACAGUAGUAAUGCUAAUACUUUUAUUUCCUUUAACACCAGAGACAAGUUUGUUGGCCAUGAUUUGGUUGGCCACCUUCUGCCUGUUGUUGGGUGUCAGGAGUUCUAGCGCUCAAUAUUCCGGCUGUACAGACACUUCCCUUAAUUACCAAGGUUACACGUAUACAAUAGACCCAACAACUCAACAGAAAGUGUGGUCCCACUGCGGGUUUCCGAAUCCUAGCUACGACUACGCCCUCUGUGGCCUGACUUACACGUCUGGCGAGCAUUUUCUCUGUGACCCGGAUGGACUUUUGACGUCACAAAUUGAUGCUAUUGACUUGGCCCUCCAGAACAUCCAAACGAACACUUCCACGUUGUGCACUAGUGCUGACGGAGAUUCCGAAAGUUUUAUCGUGUCCAUUGCCCUCAUUAAUCACACUCGCAUAGCAGACCUGUCGUCUGCCAGUCUUUGUAUCAACAAUUGUGGGGAGCUGCAGCCUGUCACGAACACCUCAGGCAGUUUGCUAUCUGACGGACACAAGACGGCCAUUGCAGAAAACUUUGGUGACUACCUUAGGACUGGUUGGGGGUUUGGCUCCUGCGGAAAUGACGUACUUAUAUUUUACGCCCAGGAUUUGGACAAGGUUCAUGUAGCAGUUGGAUCAAAGGCAUCUGGUCUCGUAACUUCCGACGUCAUAAAAUCCAUCAAGGAGACAUUUGCGUCAUAUAAAAACAACGGGAGGCUCGCGGAAGGGCUCCUUGUGAUAGCCGAGAAACUGCGCACCACGCUGCGCGGUGUAACCCCAGCCCACGUGCUUCUGAUCCUGAACAUGAUCGUUGUAGUGUUGACGGCUGCAUUCCUCGUCUUCUUCCUGCAUCUUCGAUCAGUGGAAUUUAAUGUUUGGGGUCGGGAGGGACUUUGGAAGAUCCCAGAGUACCUUUGUUACUUGCUGUCUGGAGUUUGGAUGAUAAACGGACUUCUGUUCGGUGUUAUUUACAUGUCUAACAAGGCGCCAUAUUGGGCAACGUUCUUUUCCGGAAUAGUGGGGCUAGCGUGUAUCAUCAUGUACAUAUUUGAAGAACAACUUUUUGACACGUAUUCAAACAGUGGAACCUACACGUUAAACGUUACGUCAUAAUAACAAAGUAACUAAAUUAAUUUUCCACUGUAAAAUUACCCAGUAUUUAAUGAAUUUAGAUGUACAUGAGCAUAUCUUCAUAGAUUUCACACCAUUUAGCUGCAUGUGACCUUUAACUUGUAAAAUUCACUUGAGUUUUUAAAAUCAAUGUAAUGUAUGUACAUUUUAAAAUUAUAUUACAUGUAUAUAUUCAACUAGUUCUAACAAGUUUCUGGUAAUUUCAGAAUUCCUCGCACUUCUAUCAAUCCGUCCAUUUUAGUUCAACUUCUGAUGAAAAUCGGUUCUACUCUAUCAGUCAAUACCAAAUAUGUCCAUUUUAGGCUUUCAUGAUAUUUUUACAUGCAAACGAAAUGGUGGCAUAUUUUCUGAAGCACCCUUUACACAUAGUUGUCCCAGUAUUCCAAACUUUCGAGUCUCAUCCUAAUACAUGCAUAUGAUUGAUUGGUGAGUAAACAUAAACAUAUCUGUUUAGGUAGAUUAACUCAGAUUGACGCUGUGGCCCCUGGACCUCUGUUAGAUGUUUUAACAUUUUCAUGAUAUACAGUGUACAUACACAUGAUAUUGUAAUAUUUUUUAAAUUGUCAAUUCACCUGUAAACAUCUAUCUGCAUUACUCAUAAUUAUGUUUAAUAUCCAUUUACAUGGGAUGCUGGUCAUCCACUGUCUUUGCCUAAAUUAAACAAUUUUAAACAUUG